UUUUUUUUUCACCCUGCUUUAAAAGCCCUUGGGCCCUUCCCAACUGGGUGCCAGCCAACUGCGGCUGCCUGGGACACUCCAUCUUAAGUCCCUGUGCCUCUGCUGUGUGUUACUGAGUGCCUAGGCCAUGCCAGCCUGUAUUCAUCUGUACCAUGACCUGAAGAGGCAGAGGCUAUCGUUGUUGGUCCGGUCUCCACCUGGGGAAACUGAGGUGUCUGUGUGGUGAUGAGCAGGGCUUCAUCCAGUGCCCCUGUCCCCACCGAGGGGACUAUGGGAGCCAUGGAGGGUGCGUGAGCAGCAGGUGAGACUGGAGCCAGCUGAAAACUGGGAGACCGACCCAGCCAACAAACAAUGUCGGUCUCUGUCCUGGCACCCGCAGGAAACAAGCUCCUACUUCCAGAAAAAGUGCUCCUGGGACUCAAGGAUACCAAGCAUCUGGGUAAGGUACAACGCUUAACCACUUAACACAAUCAGGAAGCAACAGCCACGCAUUUGGGAAAGGAACUUCAGCGUUGUGUGGCUCAGUCUCCAGACCUAACUUUCCCUUUGGUACAGACGCAGUGGUAGAUGCCUGUAAUCCCAACACUUAGGCAGGAGGAUCACUCGAGCCCAGAAGAUCAAGACUAGCGUGAGCAACAAAAUCCUUCCCUGGCACCGGUUCCAGGAGGACCUGGUUCUUAGGCAGCAUCUGUAUCUCUGUUUUGUAAGACACACAGUAUCCUUAACCCACUGCAGAUAUUUCCCUGGUCCAUGGUCAACCAACACCACCUUUCAGUCUCCAGCCUCUUAACCAGCCCAGGGCUGAGUGUUGUUCAUAGUAUUAAUAUGUUGCUGGCUGGGCUCAGUGGCUCAUGCCUGUAAACCCGGCACUAUGGGAGGCUGAGGCAGGCGGAUCACUUGAGGUCAGGAGUUCAAGACAAGCCUGGCCAACAUAGUAAAACCGCGUCUCUACUAAAAAUACAAAAAUGAGCCGGGUGUGGUGGUGCG
rnacentral:lncRNA from 1 species